rnacentral:rRNA from 1 species
UGGGGAAUAUUGCACAAUGGGCGCAAGCCUGAUGCAGCCAUGCCGCGUGUAUGAAGAAGGCCUUCGGGUUGUAACGUACUUUCAGCGGGGAGGAAGGGAGUAAAGUUAAUACCUUUGCUCAUUGACGUUACCCGCAAAAGAAGCACCGGCUAACUCCGUGCCAGCAGCCGCGGUAAUACGGAGGGUGCAAGCGUUAAUCGGAAUUACUGGGCGUAAAGCGCACGCAGGCGGUUUGUUAAGUCAGAUGUGAAAUCCCCGGGCUCAACCUGGGAACUGCAUCUGAGACUGGCAAGCUUGAGUCUCGUAGAGGGGGGUAGAAUUCCAGGUGUAGCGGUGAAAUGCGUAGAGAUCUGGAGGAAUACCGGUGGCGAAGGCGGCCCCCUGGACGAAGACUGACGCUCAGGUGCGAAAGCGUGGGGAGCAAACAGG